GAUGAACGCUGGCGGCGUGCCUAAUACAUGCAAGUCGAGCGAACAGACGAGGAGCUUGCUCCUCUGACGUUAGCGGCGGACGGGUGAGUAACACGUGGAUAACCUACCUAUAAGACUGGGAUAACUUCGGGAAACCGGAGCUAAUACCGGAUAAUAUAUUGAACCGCAUGGUUCAAUAGUGAAAGACGGUUUUGCUGUCACUUAUAGAUGGAUCCGCGCCGCAUUAGCUAGUUGGUAAGGUAACGGCUUACCAAGGCAACGAUGCGUAGCCGACCUGAGAGGGUGAUCGGCCACACUGGAACUGAGACACGGUCCAGACUCCUACGGGAGGCAGCAGUAGGGAAUCUUACGCAAUGGGCGAAUGCUUGACGGAGCAACGCCGCGUGAGUGAUGAAGGUCUUCGGAUCGUAAAACGCUGUUAUUAGGGGAGAACAAAUGUGUAAGUAACUAUGCACGUCUUGACGGUACCUAAUCAGAAAGCCACGGCUAACUACGUG
rnacentral:rRNA from 1 species